rnacentral:rRNA from 1 species
CAGCUUGUUGGUGGGGUAACGGCCUACCAAGGCGACGACGGGUAGCCGGCCUGAGAGGGCGACCGGCCACACUGGGACUGAGACACGGCCCAGACUCCUACGGGAGGCAGCAGUGGGGAAUAUUGCGCAAUGGGCGAAAGCCUGACGCAGCGACGCCGCGUGGGGGAUGAAGGCCUUCGGGUUGUAAACCCCUUUCAGCAGGGACGAAGCGAAAGUGACGGUACCCACAGAAGAAGCGCCGGCUAACUACGUGCCAGCAGCCGCGGUAACACGUAGGGCGCAAGCGUUGUCCGGAAUUAUUGGGCGUAAAGAGCUCGUAGGCGGUCUGUUGCGUCCGCUGUGAAAACUCGGGGCUUAACCCCGAGCCUGCAGUGGAUACGGGCAGACUAGAGGUAGGUAGGGGAGAAUGGAAUUCCCGGUGUAGCGGUGAAAUGCGCAGAUAUCGGGAGGAACACCGGUGGCGAAGGCGGUUCUCUGGGCCUUACCUGACGCUGAGGAGCGAAAGCGUGGGGAGCGAACAGGAUUAGAUACCCUGGUAGUCCACGCCGUAAACGUUGGGCGCUAGGUGUGGGAUCCUUCCACGGAU